AUGAUGCGGGGGGAGGAGCUGUCCCCCUGGACACUCUCUGCUCCAGGCUGGGGAUGCUCUGGAGGGGGGGCCUUUGGCAGGAUGGGAAUGUCCCUGUCCUCACCUCCUCCUUGCCUGCAGGGGGACCCGGGAAAGCAGGGAGAUCCUGGACGGGAUGGGCUGCCUGGGCUGCGUGGGGAGCAGGGGCCACCUGGCCCCGUGGGUCCCCUUGGACCACCUGGCGUGCCUGGCAAACCCGGUGAGGAUGGCAAACCUGGCCUGAAUGGCAAGAAUGGAGAAGAUGGUACACCAGGAGAGGAUGGGAGAAAGGGAGACAAAGGCGAUACAGGACUACCUGGGAGAGAGGUGAGUACUCCCCAAAGAGGAGUGUGUGAUGGGGAGUGCUGGGUACAUGCCCCAUCAGGGACAGACCUGGGUCCCACAUUCUGGGGGUCAUACUGCUCUCUCGGCAGGGCCGCAGCGGUGCCAAGGGCGAGCAGGGGGACAGAGGUGUGCCAGGCCCCCUGGGCCCCCCUGGCCUUCCUGGUGUCCCAGGGCAGGUUGGCCCCCCAGGCCAGGUGUGUAGUUCUCAACCCCAUGGUGCCACUCAGCACCAGACCCUGGAGUCUGGAGUGCUCUGAGGCAGGCAGGACCCCCAUCCAUGGCUCCCUCAGGACACUGCUCUGUGUCCAUGGGGACAGGGUGCUAUUGUGUCACCUCCAUGUCUUCUAG
rnacentral:lncRNA from 1 species